GGAAUUUUGCACAAUGGGCGAAAGCCUGAUGCAGCAACGCCGCGUGUGUGAUGAAGGUCUUCGGAUCGUAAAGCACUGUCGACCGGGACGAAAACCCGUUGGCUAACAUCCCACGGUUUGACUGUACCGGGAGAAGAAGCACCGGCUCACUCUGUGCCAGAAGCCGCGGUAAUACAGAGGGUGCUAGCGUUGUUCGGAAUGAUUGGGCGUAAAGCGCGUGUAGGCGGCUUUGCAAGUCGGGUGUGAAAGCCCUCAGCUUAACUGAGGAAGUGCGCCCGAAACUGCAGAGCUUGAGUACCGGAGAGGAUGGCGGAAUUCCCCAAGUAGAGGUGAAAUUCGUAGAUAUGGGGAGGAACACCGGUGGCGAAGGCGGCCAUCUGGACGGAUACUGACGCUGAGACGCGAAAGCGUGGGUAGCAAAC
rnacentral:rRNA from 1 species